UACGGGGGGGGCAAGCGUUGUUCGGAAUUACUGGGCGUAAAGGGCUCGUAGGCGGCCAACUAAGUCAGACGUGAAAUCCCUCGGCUUAACCGGGGAACUGCGUCUGAUACUGGAUGGCUUGAGUUCGGGAGAGGGAUGCGGAAUUCCAGGUGUAGCGGUGAAAUGCGUAGAUAUCGGGAGGAACACCAGUGGCGAAGGCGACUGCCUGGCCUGUUCUUGACGCUGAGGCGCGAAAGCUAGGGGAGCAAACGGG
rnacentral:rRNA from 1 species